AGAAACAUAUGAGGCAGAGCUAUCAGCAGUAUGCCAGAGACACAGCAAGAAGUUCACAUUGUUUUGCACAGAUUUGUGUUCCACAUGUUUGGCCUUAGUGGAAUUGUCAUAGAAGAAGGUAAGAAUACCAGAAAUCCCAGACACUACAAGCCUGCUCAGUAGCCAUAUGAAAUGAAUACAACUGAUUUGUACAGAUUUGAAGCAACAACCUGAUAGAACGUUUUACCUGUUGUGUAGACAGGAUAAGCUAGCUUGGUGAAAGGCAAAGGAGGAAAAUGACCUUAGAAAAGACAAUAUACAACAGGUACAAGAUCCAAAGGACCGGAAUGUCUGUCAUUCAGGUUAACAUCAGAGUUGGACAGCUUCUUGUAACAGGUAGUUUGAUGCACAGUGUGAUUAAAGAUAAUGGUAUAUGCUGACAUAUUUUCGCUGGGUCAAAAUUUCACAAAUUUUAAAUUUCGAGUAUGUUCGCGAGGUUUAAUAUUCACAAAAUGGUAAA